AAAAUCGAAAAUGCACAACAAAACAAAUGAGGAACGAAUGGGAGGAAAGUGUAACCAACGCCUGUGACCGAAAUGUAAGAAACCUCCUAAAGGAAAUGGGAUUUACAUACAGAAAAGCUAAACGAAAGCCAUCAUUAACACCUAAACAG